AAAAAGCAGCAUGAAGAUUGGACGAUGGACGGCAGCAUCCUGCCUCGGUGACAGCUGCUGGUUUGCCCCCAGUGAGGUGCACCAAAUCGGGGAAGAGCCAUCCAGACAGGCUAAAGCCAUCAUCUUUGAAAACUAGUUUCUUCUUCUAUUUGGCUUCUUCCUUGAGCAGUCCAUCCAAGACCUUCCUCCUGGAUGUCUUCGUUCAAGAGGACUUACCCGGCAGCUCUGCAUUUUUCAGAUGUCUUGUUUCUUUAUCAAGGGAAGAAAAGCCAAAUUCUAGAGAAAAAUCCAAGGCAGGCUGGUUGGAUGGUGGGAUAUAAAAGCCUGAGAAAUCAUUUUGGGGAAGGAGAAAAGCAGCAUCUGGGAUGUCACGACACCUCUGCCAGCAUCUGGGAGGAAGAGGGGGAUGCUGUCAAGAAGCCUAUCUGUGCGUAUGGAUAUACCUGCAUUUCCAUCAUAUUCACAGAGCUAGACUCAAGCAUGUUAUUGAGGCCCGUGGUUGUGACUGAUAAGCUGGUGUUCAGCCAGCUGGGCUUACCAAACCUGGGCUUUAGGGCUUUGGCUCCCUGCAGAGCUUUUUUUUUUAUUUGUCAAUCUGCUAGGAGCCCAACUACCUGCACUCAGAAGAGCUUCCUCCGGGCUCUAUUCCCAGCACCUAAUUGAUGCACGUCAUUCUUCAUGCUCUCGUUCAGGCCGUCUACACAGCUUAGGGCUUCUAGCAAGGGCUCCACCUGGUUUCAGCUGCUGUUUAUUAUUAUUUUUCCUUAUCAUUUAUGCUAAUGGUUUACUAUUUUCUUCAUUCAUUUUUAUGCAUAUAAACUAUCCAUACCUCAGGUCUCUAGCUUAUUUUAAAAAUUUUAUCUUUUAUAAAAAUAUGAUUUUUACAUUCAUAUAUAUUUUCAUUCACAUAUAUGUGUACAUAUAGAUGUAUACAUCUUGUCUUAUAUAUAAAACAUAGAUAUGAAAAACAAGAAGGGUACCUAUUGUGCAACAAAUAGUCCUGUGUACCUAUCAAAUAGAUCAAGAAAUACUGUUUUAUUAAAAUAUAAUUGAUUUUAAUAUGCCAAUUUCUGCCAUACAUCAAAGUGAUCCAGUUAUAUAUAUAUGCACACACAUUCUUUUAUUCAUAUCAUUCCCCCUCCCAUUAUGUUCUAUCCCAAGAAACUUGACACAGUUCCCUGUGCUGUACAAUAGAACCACAUUUCCCAUCCAUUCUAAAUGUAGUAGUUUGCCUCUACUAACCCCAAUCUCCCAGUCCAUUCCCACUCCCUCCUCCUUUCCCCUUUGGCAACCACAGGCCUAUUCUCUAUGUCUAUGAGUCUGUUUCUGUUCUGUAGAUAGGUUCAUUUGUGCCAUAGUUUAGAUUCCACAUAUAAAUGUCAUAUGUUGUUUGUCUUUCUCUUUCUGAUAUACUUCACUUAGUAUGGGAAUCUCUAGUUGCAUCCAUGUUGCUGCAAAUGGUGCUAUUUUUUAUGGCUGAGUAGUAUUCCAUUGUGUAUAUGUACCACAUCUUUCUAAUCUGUUGACCGACAUUUAGGUUGUUUCCAUGUAUUGGAUAUUGCGAAUAAUGCUGCUGUGAAUACAUGGGUGCGUGUAUCUCUUUGAAUUGUAGUUUUGUCCGGAUACAUGUCCAAGAGUGGAAUUGCUGGGCCAUAUAGUAGUUCUACAUUUAGUUUUCUGAGAAACCCCCAUGCUGUUUUCCAUAGUGGUUGCACCGAUUUAUUCCCAACAGUGUAGGAGGGCUCCCUUUUCUCCACAUCCUCUCUAGCAUUAUUUACUUGUAGACAUAUUAAUAGUAACAAUUCUGACCAGUGUGAG
rnacentral:lncRNA from 9 species